GCGCAGCGUUAAUAACAGUGUCUUUAUAAGAUUAAUAAAUUAUAUAAGAUUCUGCUUUUUGAGAAUAUUUCACAAGUCAUAUGCAUUAUUGAAAUUAAAUUUUUGAACCAAUUUGCAUUUUGUGGUAAAAAUGAAAUUUUAUAUCACGUUAUUAAUGGUUGCUAUGAUAGAGAUGACUACCAUGUCGUCACCGCUACUAAAGGAAACUCAACUAGGAUCGCCUCCGAAAACACCGAUGACAAAUGUAACAAUGUCUCCAUUUAAUAUCAUAACAGUACCGGAUUUUCCGUGUCCACCUGGUCAACAACGUGACACAAAUGGAAUAUGUCGAUUGUUUUUGCAAAAGCUUAAGAAGUAGUUUCAAGAAAAAUUAUAGAUACAACGAUACGAGCGGUGUAAUCCUACAAACGUCACAAUGAAAUAUCAUAACAAUGCAUGUCGAGAGAUUGGCCAAGCUAUUUGUCCGCUUUGCAUCAGAGAAACAAACUUCAUCAUCGAUGCGAUUAUCAAUGUAUAUUAUUUAUUAGUUUUAGUGUUUAACGCUGUAACUUGCAAUUAUAAUAUGAGUCCCAAUUUAUCAUAAUAAAAUACAUUUUUUAUCUAA